GAUUAGAACCUUCCUCUAGGUUAGAUUGGAAGGGUUCUAGCUCUCUUUUGGAGCGUAGGAAGAGAUUUCUUCUCUUGAGGUGAGUUUUGCCCAUUUUGCUAGAUGCUUAAUGUUUGAGCUUUUCGCUCUUCGUUUCGUUUGGAUGACACUCUUUUUGAUGUUCCUAGGGUGCUAGAAAGCUUGUAGAAACCUCCGUUGGAGCAAACGAAAAGCUUCGUUGUCGUCGGUGGGUUUGACCUAGCCUUUGAUAUGAGAAAAUCUCAUAUUUGGUGAUAAGUGCUUUGUCUACUAAUAAUUCAUGCAUUUUCAUAUUAAAUGUAUUUAUUAUGAUU
rnacentral:lncRNA from 1 species